CGGUGGAAUGCGCAGAUAUCAGAAGGACCNCCGAUGNCGAAGGCAAAUCUCUGGCCCGUAACUAACNUNAAGANCGAAAGCGUGGGAGCGACCAGGAUUAGAUACCNUGGUAGUCCACGCCGUAAACGUUGGGCGUAGAUGUAGGACCUUUCCACGGUUUCUGUGUCGUAGCUAACGCAUUAAGCGCCCCGCCUGGGGAGUACGGCCGCAAGGCUAAAACUCAAAGGAAUUGACGGGGGCCCGCACAAGCGGCGGAGCAUGCGGAUUAAUUCGAUGCAACGCGAAGAACCUUACCAAGGCUUGACAUACACCGGAAACGGCCAGAGAUGGUCGCCCCCUUGUGGUCGGUGUACAGGUGGUGCAUGGUUGUCGUCAGCUCGUGUCGUGAGAUGUUGGGUUAAGUCCCGCAACGAGCGCAACCCUCGUUCUAUGUUGCCAGCGCGUUAUGGCGGGGACUCAUAGGAGACUGCCGGGGUCAACUCGGAGGAAGGUGGGGAUGACGUCAAAUCAUCAUGCCCCUUAUGUCUUGGGCUUCACGCAUGCUACAAUGGCCGGUACAAAGGGCUGCGAUACCGUAAGGUGGAGCGAAUCCCAAAAAGCCGGUCUCAGUUCGGAUUGAGGUCUGCAACUCGACCUCAUGAAGUCGGAGUCGCUAGUAAUCGCAGAUCAGCAGCGCUGCGGAAGGUAUCAAAA
rnacentral:rRNA from 1 species